rnacentral:rRNA from 1 species
UGGGGAAUUUUCCGCAAUGGGCGAAAGCUUGACGGAGCAAUGCCGCGUGGAGGUGGAAGGCCCACGGGUCGUCAACUUCUUUUCUCGGAGAAGAAACAAUGACGGUAUCUGAGGAAUAAGCAUCGGCUAACUCUGUGCCAGCAGCCGCGGUAAGACAGAGGAUGCAAGCGUUAUCCGGAAUGAUUGGGCGUAAAGCGUCUGUAGGUGGCUUUUCAAGUCCGCCGUCAAAUCCCAGGGCUCAACCCUGGACAGGCGGUGGAAACUACCAAGCUGGAGUACGGUAGGGGCAGAGGGAAUUUCCGGUGGAGCGGUGAAAUGCAUUGAGAUCGGAAAGAACACCAACGGCGAAAGCACUUUGCUGGGCCGACACUGACACUGAGAGACGAAAGCUAGGGGAGCAAAUGGGAUUAGAGACCCCAGUAGUCCUAGCCGUAAACGAUGGAUACUAGGUGCUGUGCGACUCGACCCGUGCAGUGCUGUAGCUAACGCGUUAAGUAUCCCGCCUGGGGAGUACGUUCGCAAGAAUG